UACGGGGGGGGCAAGCGUUGUUCGGAAUUACUGGGCGUAAAGGGCUCGUAGGCGGCCAACUAAGUCAGACGUGAAAUCCCUCGGCUUAACCGGGGAACUGCGUCUGAUACUGGAUGGCUUGAGUCCGGGAGAGGGAUGCGGAAUUCCAGGUGUAGCGGUGAAAUGCGCAGAUAUCAGGAGGAACACCAAUAGCGAAGGCAGCUCGCUGGGACGGUACUGACGCUAAGGCGCGAAAGCGUGGGGAGCGAACAGG
rnacentral:rRNA from 1 species